UUGGAUUUCCCGGAUCAGUAGUCGAGCAAUUAGUAUUUAUCAGCAGACCGAGGUAAGUUUUCUCACUAUAUUAAUGGGUCGAAGACACCAAUAUUGGCCCAUUACUUGACACGUGGGAUGAUAGUUGUCUAUGUGUUUGCUUAAGUCAAAACCCCUCGAGGGUAGCCCGUGACACUUGUAUGGAAGACCAUUGGGGUAGCGCAUGACAUGGAAGACCAUGGGGGUAACCCAUGGUAUUCUUGAGAAAAGACCAUGGGGGUAGCCCAUGGUAAUCAUAUGUAUGUUGUGUGGUAUUUUUGCGACUGUAUGUUAUGUGGUAUUUGGAGAACUCACUAAGCUUUAACUUACAAUUUGUAUUUUGGUCUCAGGUACUUCCAGUACUAAAGGGAAUGGUCCGGCUUGAUGACGCAAGAUUCAAUCCCCACUGUUUUUUCGCACUUACUGGUAUUGUUACUCUGAUAAUUAAACAUAUUUAUUAUGUAAUUGAUUUUGGAAACAAUUUAUGAUUGUAAUCUCAUAUUUGAAAAUGAAAUUUUUAUCCGGUUUUUCGGUUGUUACAUAAUAUUCUAAGGUUUAAAAUUAGUGGCUCAUAUUGGUUUUCGCGUUCUCGAUUGCAUAAUUGUUCUAGUUUGAACUUAAUCUAAAAAAUGGAGAGUAAAAAUAGAAAGAUUAUAGGGAAGUCUCCGAAAAAGUCUCAAAGUUUUGGUCCGGUAUACAGUUUAGUCCUAAAUUAUUUUUUUCCUCUAUGAAAAAGUCUAAGAUACUGGCUAAUAUCCCAUUUUUACCUUCUGAGCAGGUAAACUGCCUAAAUGACAUGCCGAGUUGGCAAAGCUGUUGACGUGACGCUGAUAAAAAUCAUGUUUUUAAUGUAUAUUGGGGGAAGAGGGUUUCAAUCCUCUGGCCUCCUAAACACAAACAACGCCUCUUACCAUUAACGUAGAACAAUUUUUAUGCUUCAGUUGCUGAAAUUAUAUAUAUAAUCCAUUAAUUCUCACCUUAAAAACACUCAAAAGUAUAGAUAGUGAAACUAGCACUCCGGUUUCCCCCUCAUGAAACACACUUCCUGCCAGGGCCGGUCCAAUGGUUUUUCAUGCCCCGGGCGAAACGGAAUAAUAGUGCCCCAUUUUUACGUGAUUGAUUUACUUAAAACCUUUAAGAGAAAUAUAAUUUAGAAAUCAACAAUAUUAUAAGACCUUUUAUCUAAAGAUGCUAUACAAACUAACACACACAAAGUUGGCUUAAAACAAUGUCUUACAACAUUCUUGAAACAACAAAAUCUACGAACUUUGAUACAACUAAACCAGUCAACUUUUUUGAAACACCAAUCAUGGUGUCCUACUUUCUGAGUAUUACCAAGAAUAGCAAACAACUUGUGAAUACCACACAAACAACAUGAUCAACAACGAGCUUAUGACUUCACCCUAUUAGUGACUAAAGCCGAUGUACAAAUCAGAAUAGCACUAAACCCCCAUAUACUGAGUAAAUCUUCAAUCCAACAAUGAAUGUAAUAUAUCCCUCUGCUUCCUUCACCUUUCAGAAUAAUCUCAGAAAAUCAAUUGCAAAUCAUAACUUAAUAAACAAAUUUUGAACUCAAAUAGAAGGAAAAUCGGACCAAAUCGAACUACAACAGGUACACUAAUUUCUAUUGUGAACGAACUCCAACAACAGACAACAGUGCACAAAAAUCACGCUGAAACAAACAAAAAAAUCCGAUUAAGAGAAAUUAAAAUAAGAAUAAGAGGAAAUCAAACUCACCCAAAUCAAAAUAAAAGAAAUAAGAAAUCAAAAACCUUAAAACCAUCUGAUUUUGGUGCCCUCGGUGGUUUGCUUUAGAAUUAAAAACAAUAAAUAAAAACACUCACCCAAUUCAUAGGAAUUAGAAGAAACAAGAAGAAAUAAGAUUUAGAGGGAUAUAUGUGUAAUCGGUAUAAGUUCAUCGAUUUAAAGGCUGCCUCCUUGAUCUCUAUAGUGUACGUUAUUCAAGGGCAUCGUCGAUUGGAUUUGGCGAUUACAAUUCUCAAGGUGCUUCAAACCUAAUUAUUUAGUGCCCAUGCUCGCCUCGCCUAGACACCGGUGUUUUGUCGAUAGAAAUAAAUAUUGGGUUAAAC
rnacentral:lncRNA from 1 species